GGAGAAUGGUGGAGCUGUUGUGCUAACGGCUUAAGCUGUUUUGUUCUUAUCAAUUUUUAGUCUUUGAGUUUUUAAUUUUUCACUUUCAAGUGUUUUCAUAUUAAUGGGUAUUAUGGUUUUUAUUGAUACUUUUUGGUUUAAAAUAGAUAUGAAUUUGCUUUCCUAGUGCUUAGAUCUUAUCUUAGACUUAUUUCCGGUUUUAUUUCUUAUUGAUUGAGUCUUUCUGGUGAUGAUUUUGAUGUUUGUGAUUUUGAGGUAUAAUGCUUCUGAAAGUUAGCAAUGUGCUAAUUUUCCUUGUUUCAUUUCUUUUCAAUCUUAUUGCUGGAGUAUGGUUCUUCUAUUAGAUUAUAGUAUGAGGUUACCAUUUGAUCAUUUAUCAGAUGAUAUGAUCGUGUUAAAAUAUG
rnacentral:misc_RNA from 1 species